rnacentral:rRNA from 1 species
CCUACGGGUGGCUGCAGUGGGGAAUAUUGCACAAUGGGCGCAAGCCUGAUGCAGCCAUGCCGCGUGUGUGAAGAAGGCCUUCGGGUUGUAAAGCACUUUCAGCGGGGAGGAAGGCAGUGAGGUUAAUAACCUCAUCGAUUGACGUUACCCGCAGAAGAAGCACCGGCUAACUCCGUGCCAGCAGCCGCGGUAAUACGGAGGGUGCAAGCGUUAAUUGGAAUUACUGGGCGUAAAGCGCACGCAGGCGGUCUGUCAAGUCGGAUGUGAAAUCCCCGGGCUCAACCUGGGAACUGCAUUCGAAACUGGCAGGCUAGAGUCUUGUAGAGGGGGGUAGAAUUCCAGGUGUAGCGGUGAAAUGCGUAGAGAUCUGGAGGAAUACCGGUGGCGAAGGCGGCCCCCUGGACAAAGACUGACGCUCAGGUGCGAAAGCGUGGGGAGCAAACAGGAUUAGAUACCCGAGUAGUC